rnacentral:misc_RNA from 1 species
UCGCAAGCGUCUUUUGAAUAUUGCCAUGCAGCUGCGAAAAUGCUGUAAUCAUCCAUAUUUGUUCCAAGGUGCAGAGCCAGGUCCUCCUUAUACAACAGGAGACCAUCUAAUAACAAAUUCAGGAAAAAUGAUUCUUCUUGAUAAAUUGCUUCCCAAGCUCAAAGAACGAGACUCUAGAGUUCUUAUAUUUUCACAGAUGACUAGACUGCUGGAUAUCCUGGAGGACUAUCUGAUGUUUCGUGGGUAUCAAUAUUGCCGAAUUGAUGGUAACACAAGUGGAGAAGAUCGUGAUGCUUCAAUUGAAGCCUAUAACCAGCCUGGAAGUGAGAAAUUUGUUUUCUUGCUUUCAACUAGAGCUGGUGGUCUGGGUAUAAAUCUUGCAACUGCAGAUGUUGUUAUUCUUUAUGACAGCGAUUGGAAUCCCCAAGUUGA